UACGAAGGGUGCAAGCGUUACUCGGAAUUACUGGGCGUAAAGCGUGCGUAGGUGGUUUGUUAAGUCUGUUGUGAAAGCCCCGGGCUCAACCUGGGAAUGGCAAUGGAUACUGGCAGGCUAGAGUGCGGUAGAGGGUAGUGGAAUUCCCGGUGUAGCGGUGAAAUGCGUAGAGAUCGGGGAGGAACACCAGUGGCGAAGGCGGCUACCUGGACCAGCACUGACACUGAGGCACGAAAGCGUGGGGAGCAAACAGG
rnacentral:rRNA from 1 species